GAUUGGCUUUGAAUGUUUUAACGACCUUUUCCACAUCGGCUUGACUUUGAUUGAGUAGCUUGUACAAAUUCCCAACUUGAAAUAACCGCAAAGUCCAUGGGGAUGGGGGAUUGUCACGUUUGCAAAUUCCGUUGGAAGCCUUUUGCUUGGCUUUCCCACAGAGUUGCAAUCGCCAUGGAAACCUGCAUGCGAAGAUCUCUAGCUUUUAGACACAUGAUCAAACAGCCUGCUCUCUUUAAAUUAGAACAAGAAACACCUUAUUAUCAGUAUAACAAAGAGAAUAAAGUGUAAUUAAUACAUAAAUUUAAGUAUCAAUAUGAAUGGGAUUAACACAUAUCAUUCUAUUUCCAACAUACACCUUAAAAAAUGGAAUACAUCAUUUCAAGUUUGAUAAAAUAGUAAGGUAAUGAAGUGAAUAAUUCUUACCUAUGUCUUUCAACAACCAAUUUUGAGCGCACAUUAGGCUUCUAGAGUACCCGCAUGAAGC
rnacentral:lncRNA from 1 species